rnacentral:rRNA from 1 species
AGAGUUUGAUCAUGGCUCAGAACGAACGCUGGCGGCGCGCCUAACACAUGCAAGUCGAACGCGAAAGAGGGGCAACCCUUGAGUAAAGUGGCGCACGGGUGAGUAACGCGUAGGUGAUCUAGCUCUGCGACUAGGAUAACCAGCCGAAAGGUUGGCUAAUACUAGAUAGAGCGCAGCCAUUAUAAGGGUGGUUGCGGGAA